rnacentral:misc_RNA from 1 species
AACGCACGAGACCUGCGGACCUGCGGAAGGAUCAUUAACGUAUAUCUCUGACGGGGUGCGGUGCGCCCUGCUCCGGCCGAUCUGCGCCGUGAAGCGGGUGCGCCGCCCCCGUCCACACCUCACAAACCCACUGUGAACAUUCCUGGCGGAUGGGGGCUCGGUCUGUGCCGUGUUCCCCCUGAGGCCACACACACCCAAACUCCAGUUGCAAAGAAUGUCGUGCGGACUCUGUGCCGCCUA